rnacentral:rRNA from 1 species
CCUACGGGAGGCUGCAGUGGGGAAUAUUGCACAAUGGGGGAAACCCUGAUGCAGCAACGCCGCGUGAGUGAAGAAGUAUUUCGGUAUGUAAAGCUCUAUCAGCAGGGAAGAAAAUGACAGUACCUGACUAAGAAGCCCCGGCUAACUACGUGCCAGCAGCCGCGGGAAUACGUAGGGGGCAAGCGUUAUCCGGAUUUACUGGGUGUAAAGGGAGCGUAGACGGCUGCGCAAGUCAGAAGUGAAAGCCCGGGGCUCAACCGCGGGACUGCUUUUGAAACUGGGUAGCUAGAGUGCAGGAGAGGUAAGUGGAAUUCCUAGUGUAGCGGUGAAAUGCGUAGAUAUUAGGAGGAACACCGGUGGCGAAGGCGGCUUACUGGACUGUAACUGACGUUGAGGCUCGAAAGCGUGGGGAGCAAACAGGAUUAGAUACCCCAGUAGUC